GAGAGGACUGUUUUUCUGGGGUUUGGGAUAGAAGAAUGUGCGUAUGAUGGCUGCUGCAAAUCUGUAACGCCUCCUCCUCAAGUGCUGCUACUAUUGCCAUAGCUAAAAGGCAUUUAACACCCACUUUGCCUUUUCUGGUCAUAAACCUUUUCAGAGUGGAUAUGAAAGCUGCCUCACUAUGUUUUGUUUUCAAGGUGCUUCUUUUCCAUCCUUGAGGUUUCCAUAGCAACCUGGAACGUUUGUUUAAAUUGGAGCUCCCUGGCCUGUCCUCCCUGUGCGUAACUUCUGCUGAGAUCUUGCAGUUUCCCAGCGUCGAUGAAGUCAUCACAACUCAUAGCAGAGAAGAGAUUGCUACCCUGGAACAAGCUGACAAGCCAGCCUGAAGAAAUCCUCCCAGGCCUCAGAGCAAGGAGAGCGAUGGAGUGAGGGAGUGCAGCUGGCUGCUGAGCCAGAAGGAAAUGGUCCCACUCCCGGAUCUGGUCACAGUGGCUGGAACUGAGGAAGAGGGAACAGGAAACACAGCAGAGACAGGGAAGAGGAGGAGCUGGGCUUCAAAGAUGGACUGAGGAGGAUCGUGCCAUGAAGGGUGUGAAAUGUAGUGGAGAGGGAACAGCAACUCCUUCCUAUGUCCUGACGGAAAUGAGUUCAACGAGUAGGACGUUGAGUGGAGAUGUGCACAGCAAGGUGUGAUGGCACAGCAGUAUGGCUGGAAAUGCCACCUGCCAGGACAGCAAGAGGCAGCUUUUACUCUCAAGAUAGACAUGCUCAGCCCCAGAAGGCCUACAAACUGGUCAUCAGGCUUGUCUUCUUGGAGAGCUGUACUGAGGAAACAGUUUGGCCCUCACCGUGCUGCAGAAUCAAGUUGUGAGGAAUUAAAGCAGUUGUAAAUGGAGCUCUUUGAGAGAACGUUAUUGUACAGCAG